rnacentral:rRNA from 1 species
UACGUAGGGAGCAAGCGUUGUCCGGAAUCAUUGGGCGUAAAGCGCGCGUAGGUGGCUCUGUAAGUCCGUUGUGAAAGUCAAAGGCUCAACCUUUGAAAGCCGAUGGAUACUGCAGAGCUAGAGUACGGAAGAGGCGAGUGGAAUUCCUGGUGUAGCGGUGGAAAUGCGCAGAUAUCAGGAGGAACACCAAUAGCGAAGGCAGCUCGCUGGGACGUUACUGACACUGAGGCGCGAAAGCGUGGGAGCGAACAGG